rnacentral:rRNA from 1 species
GUCUACAGCCCUGCUACCCUGAACAAGCCCGAUCCCAUCUGAUUUCGGAAGCUAAGCAGGGUUGGGCCUGGUUAGUACUUAGAUGGGAGACCACCUAGGAAGACCAGGUGCUGUAGGUG